rnacentral:rRNA from 1 species
GCGGCGUGCUUAACACAUGCAAGUCGAACGGAAAGGCCCUGCUUUUGUGGGGUGCUCGAGUGGCGAACGGGUGAGUAACACGUGAGUAACCUGCCCUUGACUUUGGGAUAACUUCAGGAAACUGGGGCUAAUACCGGAUAGGAGCUCCUGCUGCAUGGUGGGGGUUGGAAAGUUUCGGCGGUUGGGGAUGGACUCGCGGCUUAUCAGCUUGUUGGUGGGGUAGUGGCUUACCAAGGCUUUGACGGGUAGCCGGCCUGAGAGGGUGACCGGCCACAUUGGGACUGAGAUACGGCCCAGACUCCUACGGGAGGCAGCAGUGGGGAAUAUUGCACAAUGGGCGGAAGCCUGAUGCAGCAACGCCGCGUGCGGGAUGACGGCCUUCGGGUUGUAAACCGCUUUCGCCUGUGACGAAGCGUGAGUGACGGUAAUGGGUAAAGAAGCACCGGCUAACUACGUGCCAGCAGCCGCGGUGAUACGUAGGGUGCGAGCGUUGUCCGGAUUUAUUGGGCGUAAAGGGCUCGUAGGUGGUUGAUCGCGUCGGAAGUGUAAUCUUGGGGCUUAACCCUGAGCGUGCUUUCGAUACGGGUUGACUUGAGGAAGGUAGGGGAGAAUGGAAUUCCUGGUGGAGCGGUGGAAUGCGCAGAUAUCAGGAGGAACACCAGUGGCGAAGGCGGUUCUCUGGGCCUUUCCUGACGCUGAGGAGCGAAAGCGUGGGGAGCGAACAGGCUUAGAUACCCUGGUAGUCCACGCUGUAAACGGUGGGUACUAGGUGUGGGGUCCAUUCCACGGGUUCCGUGCCGUAGCUAACGCUUUAAGUACCCCGCCUGGGGAGUACGGCCGCAAGGCUAAAACUCAAAGGAAUUGACGGGGCCCCGCACAAGCGGCGGAGCAUGCGGAUUAAUUCGAUGCAACGCGUAGAACCUUACCUGGGUUUGACAUGGAUCGGGAGCGCUCAGAGAUGGGUGUGCCUCUUUUGGGGUCGGUUCACAGGUGGUGCAUGGCUGUCGUCAGCUCGUGUCGUGAGAUGUUGGGUUAAGUCCCGCAACGAGCGCAACCCUUGUUCACUGCUGCCAGCACGUUAUGGUGGGGACUCAGUGGAGACCGCCGGGGUCAACUCGGAGGAAGGUGGGGAUGACGUCAAGUCAUCAUGCCCCUUAUGUCCAGGGCUUCACGCAUGCUACAAUGGCUGGUACAGAGAGUGGCGAGCCUGUGAGGGUGAGCGAAUCUCGGAAAGCCGGUCUCAGUUCGGAUUGGGGUCUGCAACUCGACCUCAUGAAGUCGGAGUCGCUAGUAAUCGCAGAUCAGCAACGCUGCGGUGAAUACGUUCCCGGGGCUUGUACACACCGCCCGUCAAGUCAUGAAAGUUGGUAACACCCGAAGCCGGUGGCCUAACCGAUGUGGGGGAGCCGUCGAAGGUGGGACUGGUGAUUAGGACUAAGA